GACGAACGCUGGCGGCGUGCUUAACACAUGCAAGUCGAACGGAAAGGCCCUGCUUUUGUGGGGUGCUCGAGUGGCGAACGGGUGAGUAACACGUGAGUAACCUGCCCUUGACUUUGGGAUAACUUCAGGAAACUGGGGCUAAUACCGGAUAGGAGCUCCUGCUGCAUGGUGGGGGUUGGAAAGUUUCGGCGGUUGGGGAUGGACUCGCGGCUUAUCAGCUUGUUGGUGGGGUAGUGGCUUACCAAGGCUUUGACGGGUAGCCGGCCUGAGAGGGUGACCGGCCACAUUGGGACUGAGAUACGGCCCAGACUCCUACGGGAGGCAGCAGUGGGGAAUAUUGCACAAUGGGCGGAAGCCUGAUGCAGCAACGCCGCGUGCGGGAUGACGGCCUUCGGGUUGUAAACCGCUUUCUCCUGUGACGAAGCGUGAGUGACGGUAAUGGGUAAAGAAGCACCGGCUAACUACGUG
rnacentral:rRNA from 1 species